rnacentral:rRNA from 1 species
UUAGCAUGGAAUAAUGGAAUAGGACGUCGAUCCUAUUUUGUUGGUUUCUAGGACCGCCGUAAUGAUUAAUAGGGAUAGUUGGGGGCAUUAGUAUUCAAUUGUCAGAGGUGAAAUUCUUGGAUUUAUUGAAGACUAACUACUGCGAAAGCAUUUGCCAAGGAUGUUUUCAUUAAUCAAGAACGAAAGUUAGGGGAUCGAAGACGAUUAGAUACCGUCGUAGUCUUAACCAUAAACUAUGCCGACUAGGGAUCGGGCGCAGUUUCAAACGACUCGCUCGGCACCUUAAGAGAAAUCAAAGUUUUUGGGUUCUGGGGGGAGUAUGGUCGCAAGGCUGAAACUUAAAGGAAUUGACGGAAGGGCACCACCAGGAGUGGAGCCUGCGGCUUAAUUUGACUCAACACGGGGAAACUCACCAGGUCCAGACACAGUAAGGAUUGACAGAUUGAGAGCUCUUUCUUGAUUCUGUGAUUGGUGGUGCAUGGCCGUUCUUAGUUGGUGGAGUGAUUUGUCUGCCUAAUCGCGAUAACGAACGAGACCCUUACCUGCUAAAUAGUCGACUCGGCCUUGGCCGGGACCUUUUGGUUACGACUUCUUAGAGGGACUGGAGGCUCCAAGCCUCAGGAAGUCCGGGGGCAAUAACAGGUCUGUGAUGCCCUUAGAUGUUCUGGGCCGCACGCGCGCUACACUGAUAAAGUCAGCGAGUUUUAUUCUUUGAAUAGUCCUUGGCCGGAAGGCCUGGGCAAUCUUGUUAAACUUUAUCGUGCCUGGGGAUAGAGCAUUGCAAUUAUUGCUCUUCAACGAGGAAUUCCUAGUAGUCGUAAUUCAUCAGAUUGCGACGAUUACGUCCCUGCCCUUUGUACACACCGCCCGUCGCUACUACCGAUUGAAUGGCUUAGUGAGGCCUCUGGAUCGGCUCUGCUCAGCUGGCAACGGCCGGGCGCUGUCGAGAAGCUGGUCAAACUUGGUCAUUUAGAGGAAGUAAAAGUCGUAACAAGGUCUCCGUAGGUGAACCUGCGGAGGGAUCAUUACUGAAUGGCCUUUUGGGCCUUCAACCUUCAAAAACAUGUGGAAGCAAGAUGUGCUUCGGUGCCUCUGGUGCCGCCUUUAUGCAGUGAAGCCUUAUUUGUCUGAACCAAAAUCAAAAAGUUAAAACUUUCAACAAAGGAUCUCUUGGCUCUCACAUCGAUGAAGAACGCAGCGAAGCGCGAAAUGUAGUGUGAAUCGCAGAACUUAGUGAAUCAUCGAAUCUUUGAACGCACAUUGCGCCUCCCAUCAUCGGGAGGCAUGCCUGUCUGAGCGUCAUUUAAACCAUAGCUCCCAUCUGGGACUGUACUGGGCAUCGCCGACGGCGUAGCCUCAAAGACAUUGGUCUAAUCAAGCGGACGAGUUCCUUUAGGACGGACCGUUGGGUUGACCUUAAACCUCUGACUUGACCUCAGAUCAGGUAGGGCUACCGCCUGAACUUAAGCAUAUCAAUAAGGCGAGGAACAGAAACCAACAGGGAUUCCCCUAGUAGUGGCGAAUGAAGCGGGAAAAGCUCAAGUUUGAAAUCUGGGGCUUGCCCCAGAGUUGUAAGCUGAAGAGGCGUCGACCGACGCGGCCCGGGCUCAAUUUCCUUGGAACAGGAGGUCAUGGAGGGUGAGAACCCCGUCUGUGGCUUGGGUACCGUCGUCCUUGUGUCGUGUCCUCGAAGAGUCGGGUUGUUUGGGAAUGCAGCUCAAAAUGGGUGGUAAAUUUCAUCUAAGGCUAAAUAUUGGUGAGAGACCGAUAGCAAACAAGUAGAGUGAUCGAAAGAUGAAAAGUACUUUGAAAAGAGAGUGAAACAGUACGUGAAAUUGUUGAAAGGGAAGCGUUUGGCAUCAGCCCAUGGCCUCCGUCGAUCAUCUGGGCUUCUGUCCGGUGCACUUGUCGGGGGUCGGGCCAGCGUCGGCUUUGCCCGCCGGAGAAAGGCCUUGGGAAUGUGGCUCCCUCGGGAGUGUUAUAGCCCUCGGUGUCAUGCGGCGUGGUGGGGCCGAGGUCUGCGGUUUAUCCUAGGACGCUGGCGUAAUGUUCA